AACGCCUGUCGCAGAUCUCUCCCUCCCCUGGAGUGAUCCCCGGAGCAGGUACCCCUCCCCAGGUCCUGCUCCCCAGCCCCGCCGGCCCCCCCUGCCUGCGGGGCUUUUUA
rnacentral:sRNA from 1 species